UGGGCCGUCGCCACCACUGUAGUCAUGUACCCACCGCCGCCGCCGCCGCCUCAUCGGGACUUCAUCUCGGUGACGCUGAGCUUUGGCGAGAGCUAUGACAACAGCAAGAGUUGGCGGCGGCGCUCGUGCUGGAGGAAAUGGAAGCAACUGUCGAGAUUGCAGCGGAAUAUGAUUCUCUUCCUCCUUGCCUUUCUGCUUUUCUGUGGACUCCUCUUCUACAUCAACUUGGCUGACCAUUGGAAAGGUAUCAGAAACACGUGUACUUGAAAAUGAUAUCUGUUGAGGGUUGAUUGGGCAGAAGCAAUCUUGCAUUCUACCUUAAACAGCUCCAGGAGGCAUAUAUGGCAACGAAUUGGCAAGAAAUCAAGAUAAAGAGAAAGGUAGAGCUGUAUUUAACCACCUGGCUAGAACACAGAUGUUAAUUUGAUGCUGUCUGACUACUUUCUAGGUCUCUGGUGUAAGUACUGAUAUGUCCAGCCUCCCUUAUAGAGUAAGUCAGCUGGUGGGCUUGAACACUCAGCCUAAAUAACCACACAAAUUUCGUAGCACUCAUUAGCGUGUGUUUGGAAAAGACCAGGCAGAGUUCUGGUGAGGACGUGGAGAAUCUCUUCUCACUUGG
rnacentral:sRNA from 1 species